GCCUGGGUGGCUCAGUCGGUUGAGCGUCUGACUUCAGCUCAGGUCAUGAUCUCACCGUUUGUGGGUAUGAGCCCCUCAUCUGGCU
rnacentral:tRNA from 1 species